CGAUUAGAGUUUGAUCCUGGCUCAGAGCGAACGCUGGCGGCAGGCUUAACACAUGCAAGUCGAGCGGGCCCUUCGGGGUCAGCGGCGGACGGGUGAGUAACACGUGGGAACGUGCCCUUUGGUUCGGAACAACUCCGGGAAACUGGAGCUGAUACCGGAUGAGCCCUUCGGGGGAAAGAUUUAUCGCCAUUGGAGCGGCCCGCGUCGGAUUAGGUAGUUGGUGGGGUAAAGGCCCACCAAGCCUGCGAUCCGUAGCUGGUCUGAGAGGAUGAUCAGCCACACUGGGACUGAGACACGGCCCANACUCCUACGGGAGGCAGCAGUGGGGAAUCUUGCGCAAUGGGCGAAAGCCUGACGCANCCAUGCCGCGUGAGUGAUGAAGGCCUUANGGUUGUAAAACUCUUUCACCGGGGACGAUAAUGACGGUACCCGGANAANAANCCCCGGCUAACUUCNUGCCANCANCCNCGNUAAUACNAANGGGGCUANCGUUGCUCANAAUUACUG
rnacentral:rRNA from 1 species